rnacentral:rRNA from 1 species
CGGGUGAGUAACGCGUAUGCGACCUGCCCGUUGCAGGGGAGUAAUCGGGAGAAAUCCCGUCUAAUACCGCGUAACGCCGCGGGGCUGCAUGGCCCUGCGGCCAAAGGGAGCGAUUCCGGCAACGGAUGGGCAUGCGUGACAUUAGCUAGUUGGCGGGGCAACGGCCCACCAAGGCGACGAUCAGUAGCCGGCCUGAGAGGGCGGACGGCCACACUGGGACUGAGACACGGCCCAGACUCCUACGGGAGGCAGCAG